rnacentral:rRNA from 1 species
UUGCAGAUCUACAGUGAAUCAUCGAAUCUUUGAACGCACCUUGCGCUCCUCGGUGUUCCGAGGAGCAUGCCUGUUUGAGUGUCAG